UACGUAGGUGGCAAGCGUUGUCCGGAAUUAUUGGGCGUAAAGCGCGCGCAGGCGGUCCUUUAAGUCUGAUGUGAAAGCCCACGGCUCAACCGUGGAGGGUCAUUGGAAACUGGAGGACUUGAGUGCAGAAGAGGAAAGUGGAAUUCCAUGUGUAGCGGUGAAAAGCGUAGAGAUGUGGAGGAACACCAGUGGCGAAGGCGACUUUCUGGUCUGUAACUGACGCUGAGGCGCGAAAGCGUGGGGAGCAAACAGG
rnacentral:rRNA from 1 species